rnacentral:rRNA from 1 species
GCUACACAUGCAAGUCGAGCGGGAUAUACCGGUUUAGUUUACUAAGCUGGUAAAUUCAGCGGCGGACGGGUGAGUAACGCGUGAGCAAUCUGCCUUGUACAGGGGGAUAACAGCCGGAAACGGCUGCUAAUACCGCAUAAGGCCACAGUACCGCAUGGUACAGGGGUCAAAGGAGAGAUCCGGUAUAAGAUGAGCUCGCGUUCCAUUAGCUGGUUGGUGAGGUAACGGCCCACCAAGGCAACGAUGGGUAGCCGGCCUGAGAGGGUGAACGGCCACAUUGGGACUGAGACACGGCCCAAACUCCUACGGGAGGCAGCAGUGGGGGAUAUUGCGCAAUGGGGGGAACCCUGACGCAGCAACGCCGCGUGAGUGAAGGAGGCCUUCGGGUCGUAAAACUCUGUGACAGGGGAAGAAGAAAGUGACGGUACCCUGAGAGGAAGCCCCGGCUAACUACGUGCCAGCAGCCGCGGUAACACGUAGGGGGCAAGCGUUGUCCGGAAUUACUGGGCGUAAAGGGUGCGUAGGCGGCCGAGCAAGUCCGAUGUGAAAGACCACGGCUAAACUGUGGGGGUGCAUAGGAAACUGUCCGGCUUGAGUGCAGGAGAGGAAAGUGGAAUUCCUAGUGUAGCGGUGAAAUGCGUAGAGAUUAGGAAGAACACCAGUGGCGAAGGCGACUUUCUGGACUGUAACUGACGCUGAGGCACGAAAGCGUGGGGAGCGAACAGGAUUAGAUACCCUG